AAUGAACGCUGGCGGCAUGCCUAACACAUGCAAGUCGAACGAGACCUUCGGGUCUAGUGGCGCACGGGUGCGUAACGCGUGGGAAUCUGCCCUUGGGUUCGGAAUAACAGUUAGAAAUGACUGCUAAUACCGAAUGAUGUCGUAAGACCAAAGAUUCAUCGCCCAGGGAGUGAGCCCGCGUAGGAUUAGCUAGUUGGUGUGGUAAAAGACGCACCAAGGCGACGACCUUAGCUGGUCUGAGAGGAUGAUCAG
rnacentral:rRNA from 1 species